UUGUCCUUAUGCGAGGGCAGGCCAGCAGUAAGGAAUCUACGGCAUGAGGCGAAGCUGAACCGGAAGUCAGACGCUCGGCGUGGAGGGAUGAGGUCCUAUGGAUCCGUAAAACUCUGUUGGUAGGGAAAGAACAAAUUGUUUAGUAACUGAACAAGUCUUGACGGUACCUAAACCAGAAAGCACGGCUAAUUACGUGCCAGCAGCCGCGGUAAUCCGUAGGUGGCAAGCGUUAUCCGGAAAUAUUGGGCGUAAAGCGCGCGUAGGCGGUUUCUUAAGUCUGAUGUGAAAGUCCACGGCUCAACCGUGGAAGGUCAUUGGAAACUGGGGAACUUGAGUGCAGAAGAGGAGAGUGGAAUUCCAUGUGUAGCGGUGAAAUGCGCAGAGAUAUGGAGGAACACCAGUGGCGAAGGCGGCUCUCUGGUCUGUAACUGACGCUGAUGUGCGAAAGCGUGGGGAUCAAACAGGAUUUAGAUACCCUGGUAGUCCACGCCGUAAACGAUGAGUGCUAAGUGUUAGGGGGUUUCCGCCCCUUAGUGCUGCAGCUAACGCAUUAAGCACUCCGCCUGGGGAGUACGACCGCAAGGUUGAAACUCAAAGGAAUUGACGGGGACCCGCACAAGCGGUGGAGCAUGUGGUUUAAUUCGAAGCAACGCGAAGAACCUUACCAAAUCUUGACAUCCUUUGAUCGCUCUAGAGAUAGAGUUUUCCCCUUCGGGGGACAAAGUGACAGGUGGUGCAUGGUUGUCGUCAGCUCGUGUCGUGAGAUGUUGGGUUAAGUCCCGCAACGAGCGCAACCCUUAAGCUUAGUUGCCAUCAUUAAGUUGGGCACUCUAGGUUGACUGCCGGUGACAAACCGGAGGAAGGUGGGGAUGACGUCAAAUCAUCAUGCCCCUUAUGAUUUGGGCUACACACGUGCUACAAUGGAUAAUACAAAGGGCAGCGAAACCGCGAGGUCAAGCAAAUCCCAUAAAAUUAUUCUCAGUUCGGAUUGUAGUCUGCAACUCGACUACAUGAAGCUGGAAUCGCUAGUAAUCGUAGAUCAGCAUGCUACGGUGAAUACGUUCCCGGGUCUUGUACACACCGCCCGUCACACCACGAGAGUUUGUAACACCCGAAGCCGGUGGAGUAACCUUUUAUUAGGAGCUAACCGCGAAGGGGGA
rnacentral:rRNA from 1 species